AUAUGAAGUCGGACCUGCCCAGUGAUUAAUUUAACGGCCGCGGUACUCUGACCGUGCAAAGGUAGCAUAAUCAUUUGCCUUAUAAUUGAAGGCUAGAAUGAAUGGUUUGACAAGAAUAUAGCUGUCUCUUUAUAAUUUAAUAGAAUUUUAUAUUUAGGUGAAAAAGCCUUAAUUGAAUUAAAAGACAAGAAGACCCUAUCGAGCUUAAAAGAAAUUAGUAAGAUAAUAUAUUAAUUACUCAAAAAAAUAAAUUGCUAAAAAUUUUGGUUGGGGCAACCGAGGAGUAAAAAAAGCCUCCUUUUUAACUGUAAAACAUUACUAGUAUUGAUCCAAAUUUUUUGAUUGAAGAAAAUAGUUACCGUAGGGAUAACAGCAUUAUCUUUUUUAAGAGCUCUAAUCGAAAAAAAGGUUUGUGACCUCGAUGUUGGACCAGAAUAUCCUAAAGAUGCAGAAGUCUUUAAAGGUUGGUCUGUUCGACCAUUAAAAUUCUA
rnacentral:rRNA from 1 species